rnacentral:ribozyme from 14 species
UUGUGAUAUUUUUGUCGCCAACUUUCCAUCGUUGAUUUCUUCUACUUCUUCUUUUGACUCAUUCGUUUCAUUAUCAGUAAAAGUAGGAGGAGA